rnacentral:rRNA from 1 species
UGGGGAAUAUUGGACAAUGGGCGCAAGCCUGAUCCAGCCAUGCCGCGUGAGUGACGAAGGCCUUAGGGUUGUAAAGCUCUUUCGGCGGGGAAGAUAAUGACGGUACCCGCAGAAGAAGCCCCGGCUAACUCUGUGCCAGCAGCCGCGGUAAUACAGAGGGGGCAAGCGUUGUUCGGAAUCACUGGGCGUAAAGCGCACGUAGGUGGAUAGUUAAGUUCGGGGUGAAAUCCCAGGGCUCAACCCUGGAACUGCCUCGGAUACUGGCUAUCUCGAGUCCGGAAGAGGUGAGUGGAAUUCCUAGUGUAGAGGUGAAAUUCGUAGAUAUUAGGAAGAACACCGGUGGCGAAGGCGGCUCACUGGUCCGGUACUGACACUGAGGUGCGAAAGCGUGGGGAGCAAACAGGAUUAGAUACCCUUGUAGUCCCUGAGCGGGCUGGCAAGGCGCAU